UACGAAGGGAGCUAGCGUUGUUCGGAAUCACUGGGCGUAAAGCGCACGUAGGCGGACGGGUCAGUCAGGGGUGAAAUCCCGGAGCUCAACUUCGGAACUGCCUUUGAUACAGCACGUCUUGAGUCCGGAAGAGGUGGGUGGAAUUCCUAGUGUAGAGGUGAAAUUCGUAGAUAUUAGGAAGAACACCGGUGGCGAAGGCGGCCCACUGGUCCGGUACUGACGCUGAGGUGCGAAAGCGUGGGGAGCAAACAGG
rnacentral:rRNA from 1 species